GUGAACCAGCGGAGGGAUCAUUACUGAGUUUACGCUCUAUAACCCUUUGUGAACAUACCUAUAACUGUUGCUUCGGCGGGUAGGGUCUCCGCGACCCUCCCGGCCUCCCGCCUCCGGGCGGGUCGGCGCCCGCCGGAGGAUAACCAAACUCUGAUUUAACGACGUUUCUUCUGAGUGGUACAAGCAAAUAAUCAAAACUUUUAACAACGGAUCUCUUGGUUCUGGCAUCGAUGAAGAACGCAGCGAAAUGCGAUAAGUAAUGUGAAUUGCAGAAUUCAGUGAAUCAUCGAAUCUUUGAACGCACAUUGCGCCCGCCAGCAUUCUGGCGGGCAUGCCUGUUCGAGCGUCAUUUCAACCCUCAAGCUCUGCUUGGUGUUGGGGCCCUACAGCUGAUGUAGGCCCUCAAAGGUAGUGGCGGACCCUCCCGGAGCCUCCUUUGCGUAGUAACUUUACGUCUCGCACUGGGAUCCGGAGGGACUCUUGCCGUAAAACCCCCCAAUUUUCCAAAGGUUGACCUCGGAUCAGGUAG
rnacentral:rRNA from 1 species